rnacentral:rRNA from 1 species
UACGGGGGGAGCAAGCGUUGUUCGGAUUUACUGGGCGUAAAGGGCGCGUAGGCGGCGCAACAAGUCACUUGUGAAAUCUCCGGGCUUAACCCGGAGCGGUCAAGUGAUACUGUCGUGCUAGAGUGCGGAAGGGGCUACUGGAAUUCUCGGUGUAGCGGUGAAAUGCGUAGAUAUCGAGAGGGAACACCUGCGGCGAAGGCGGGUAGCUGGGCCGACACUGACGCUGAUGCGCGAAAGCCCAGGGGAGCGAACGGG